rnacentral:rRNA from 1 species
CCCCUAGAUGUUCUGGGCCGCACGCGCGCUACACUGAACAGUUCAACAAGUCUUAACCUUGGCCGAUAGGUCUGGGUAAUCUUUGAACGCUGUUCGUGAUUGGGAUAGACCUUUGCAAUUAUGGGUCUUCAACGAGGAAUUCCUAGUAAACGCAAGUCAUCAGCUUGCAUUGAUUACGUCCCUGCCCUUUGUACACACCGCCCGUCGCACCUACCGAUUGAAUGGUCCGGUGAAAUCUCGGGACGGCGGCUUGGUCGCUUGCGUCCGACUGCUGAAACUUGAUUAAACCAUAUCAUUUAGAGGAAGGUGCAGCCGUAACA